GGGCCCGUGGUAUACUGGCAACACAUUUCCAUGGCAUGGAAAAGUAAGGGGUUCGAUUCCCCUCGGGUCCACCA
rnacentral:tRNA from 1 species